AAUAGAUACCCGGGUAGUCCACGCCGUAAACGAUGAGUGCUAGGUGUUAGGGGGUCCAACCCUUAGUGCCGAAGUUAACACAUUAAGCACUCCGCCUGGGGAGUACGGUCGCAAGACUGAAACUCAAAGGAAUUGACGGGGGCCCGCACAGGCGGUGGAGCAUGUGGUUUAAUUCGAAGCAACGCGAAGAACCUUACCAGGGCUUGACAUCCCUCUGACCGUUCUAGAGAUAGAGCUUCCCUUCGGGGCAGAGGUGACAGGUGGUGCAUGGUUGUCGUCAGCUCGUGUCGUGAGAUGUUGGGUUAAGUCCCGCAACGAGCGCAACCCUUGUCCUUAGUUGCCAGCAUUCAGUUGGGCACUCUAGGGAGACUGCCGGUGACAAACCGGAGGAAGGUGGGGAUGACGUCAAAUCAUCAUGCCCCUUAUGUCCUGGGCUACACACGUGCUACAAUGGCUGGUACAAAGGGUAGCGAAGCAGUGAUGUGGAGCCAAUCCCAAAAAGCCAGUCACAGUUCGGAUUGUAGG
rnacentral:rRNA from 1 species